AAUGAGACUUAGGUGGGAAGAUAGCAGCGGUUGCUACAAUGGGAAAAAAAAAAAAAAAAAAAAAAAAACACACCUUUCCUUUGCGCAAGCUUAAAGCAGCCAGAUCCUCCUCCAGGUGUUUGGUACUUUACUUCAAAGGCUAGUCUGCAGCACCUGAACUCCAAGAACAUCGAUCCAGCUCUCUCUUUACAAGUCAGGAAACAAUAGGCCAGGUGACGCUCAAUGACUUGCUCGAGACAGCUAGCAAAGGCAAAUACGGACGUGCAGCCCAGCUCACAUUCCCAGCCACCACACCUGUGAACUCCCUUGGACAAGGAUUUAGAAUUCAGCAGCAGCAUACAGACACAGGAAUAAAGCCACGACAAAGAUAACUGGCGUUCCCACAGCCUUCAAGCUAACUGGGACAGAUAUUGGCCAGAGCUGGGACAUGAAGCCUGGAGAGCCCAGGGACUUCGCCAAGGUGGAACUGUGAGGCCACACAGAGGGGAAAGAAAUCCAUGUAUUGAAGAAACAGGGAAUGCUGUCAGCAAGAAGAUAAAUGGGCACAAAUGAAAAUAAUCCACAUUUGUGUGAUGGUAUUUUCGGCCAUAAAUAUCAAAAGAACAGCCACAGAAGGGGAGCCCCAUGGGAUAGGCAAAAGCCAUUUUUGCUCAUAUAUGGAAGUGUUAGUACCUGGCACCAGCUGUUCAACGAGCGCCCAUGGUGGAGGGACAACCCACACCC